rnacentral:rRNA from 1 species
AUUCCAGCUCCAAUAGCGUAUAUUAAUGUUGUUGCAGUUAAAAAGCUCGUAGUUGGAUUUCUGAUGGGAUCGACCCGGUCGGCUCCGAAAGGGGUCGCACUGGUGGUCUGUCCGGUCAUCCUCGAGGGGAGGCUUUCUGGCAUUCAUUUGUUGGGGAGUCGACGCUCGUCGUUUACUGUGAACAAAUUAGAGUGUUCAAAGCAGGCUUAGGCCGUUGAAUACAUUAGCAUGGAAUAAUGAGAUAGGACUUUGGUGGUCUAUUUUGUUGGUUUGCACGCCGAAGUAAUGAUUAAUAGGGGCGGUUGGGGGUAUUCGUAUUCAAUUGUCAGAGGUGAAAUUCUUGGAUUUAUGGAAGACGAACUACUGCGAAAGCAUUUACCAAGGAUGUUUUCAUCG